rnacentral:rRNA from 1 species
UACGAGGGGGGCAAGCGUUGUUCGGAAUUAUUGGGCGUAAAGGGCGCGUAGGCGGUUUGACAAGUCUGAUGUGAAAUCUAUGGGCUCAACCCAUAGCCUGCAUUAGAAACUGUCGGGCUUGAGUAUGGGAGAGGUGAGUGGAAUUUCCGGUGUAGCGGUGAGAUGCGUAGAUAUCGGAAGGAACACCUGUGGCGAAAGCGGCUCACUGGACCAUAACUGACGCUGAGGCGCGAAAGCUAGGGGAGCAAACAGG